ensembl:lncRNA
ACGCGGGUACCUGCGAAAGAAUCCCUUGUUCUUCUUUUUUGCUCCUUAUAACUCUGCCAGAAGAAUCCCUCAUCUGUGGUUCCUGUUUGAACAACACACAGAAAAAGACAUUGUUAGAGCGCUCUCAAAAGGAAGAGAUCUUGAAGCCCCCUGCUGAUUGUAUGGGGUGGAUUCUGAAUUCUCAACCCUCACGUCCCCUCAGGGCCGUCAGGACCGCCACCAUCAGCCCAGCUCUGGGAGAGGGAAGAAUGGGAUGAAUUUUGAACCCUGAGCUUUGGGGCAUCCGGUCGAGGCCUGGACACUAAUACUCAUGGCUUUCCGAGAGAUUUCCUGAACCUGCUGGCCCACGCUGUGAAUAAAGAUGCGGAAAAUUAGUCUUGGCUUCA